UACGACGGAAAUGAAGUUUUCGGAUGGAAUUGAAGAUGUAUGUUCUAGCGGCGGACGGGUGAGUAACGCGUGAGCAACCUGUCCCUUACAGGGGGAUAACACAGCGAAAGUUGUACUAAUACCGCAUGAGACCACGGUGAGACAUCUCACAGGGGUCAAAGGAGCAAUCCGGUAAGGGGUGGGCUCGCGUCCGAUUAGAUAGUUGGUGAGGUAACGGCCCACCAAGUCAACGAUCGGUAGCCGACCUGAGAGGGUGAUCGGCCACAUUGGGACUGAGACACGGCCCAAACUCCUACGGGAGGCAGCAGAGGGGAAUAUUGGGCAAUGGGGGGAACCCUGACCCAGCAACGCCGCGUGAGGGAAGAAGGUUUUCGGAUCGUAAACCUCUGUCCUUGGUGAAGAGGAAGAGACGGUAGCCAAGGAGGAAGCCCCGGCUAACUACGUGCCAGCAGCCGCGGUAAUACGUAGGGGGCGAGCGUUGUCCGGAAUGAUUGGGCGUAAAGGGCGCGUAGGCGGCUUUUUAAGUCUGAAGUGAAAGUCCUGGUUUUAAGCUGGGAAUUGCUUUGGAUACUGGAGAGCUUGAGUGCAGGAGAGGUAAGUGGAAUUCCCAGUGUAGCGGUGAAAUGCGUAGAGAUUGGGAGGAACACCAGUGGCGAAGGCGACUUACUGGACUGUAACUGACGCUGA
rnacentral:rRNA from 1 species